UACGAAGGGGGCUAGCGUUGUUCGGAAUUACUGGGCGUAAGGCGCACGUAGGCGGAUUGGUAAGUAGGGGGUGAAAUCCCCGGGCUCAACCCGGGAACUGCCUUCUAGACUGCCAGUCUUGAGGUCAGGAGAGGCGAGUGGAAUUCCGAGUGUAGAGGUGAAAUUCGUAGAUAUUCGGAGGAACACCAGUGGCGAAGGCGACUCGCUGGACUGAUACUGACGCUGAGGUGCGAAAGCGUGGGGAGCAAACAGG
rnacentral:rRNA from 1 species